CUCUGAAACUGACCACUCCAAGCUGUAAGUAAAAUUUGAUUUAUAGUGAUUUGUCUAAUUUGGUCUUUGAAUGUCCUGUGCAAUUAACUUAUAUAUAGUUCAUCUAGUUGGCUAUUUGUUUGAUUUACCAAAUUUUGAUGCAAUACGUUGAUUUAGUUUGUUGAUAUAGCUCUCAUGUAAUAUAUUUGUGGAGAAAGACAUGUGCCCAUUACAUUGAUGGCUUUUCUGAUGAUGGAUCGUGCGAUUAAGGAAGAACCGCAUUUGAAGCAAUCCUUGGGGAGAGUUCUGCUUCCUCAAUUUCAACUUUAGCGAUAUGAGAGCCUUCUCGUUUGUAUAAAAGGAUCUUUCAUUUUGCCAAAUAUAUAUAAUUUUGCCUUCUAAACUAAUUUUGAAAAGUCUAUUAAAUCCAUUACAUUUUAUUAUGACCUAUUGCAUUCAUAUAUUUUUAUAUUUGACCUAUUGGUUUUUAUUUUUUUGGUGUAGUAUUAGGUAAUGAAUUGGCCCCCUCAUCAAUGAAUAAUUUGAUAAACAUAUAAUUUUUAUAUAUCUUUAUUUCAAAUUAAACUUGAUAAUCUAUUCUAUGAUUCAUUGAUGAGUUGGAAAAAUGUUCCUUUUAGUUAUGAGAAAAAUAUAAGUAAAAAAAUUAGCAUUUAAUAGUUCAAAAAUAAAAAUGUGAGGGUGCAAUAAGU
rnacentral:misc_RNA from 1 species